rnacentral:ncRNA from 15 species
UGAACUGUAAUUAUUAGUUUAAUAUUUUUAGUUUGAUGUUGAAAUAUUUAAUUAAAGAUGUUACAGUUGUUCUAUAUGUACCAAAUAAAUAUAGUAAGA